rfam:Populus trichocarpa scaffold_18_contig_142, whole genome shotgun sequence.
UCUAAAACUCAACAUAUGGGCUGAACACUGAACAAUGUCUGGGCUGCAGGACAGAUUCUGACUUCUCUGUUGUUGCUAAGAUUUGGAUUUCCAGACAGCAGAAUUGAGUCUUGGACUCCCCAUGAAUGUUUUAGGCCUAUGUCUUAGCUUUCUAGC